GAGAGUUCUUAGGAAACUUCUGUUAUCUGCAAGAAGGUUGUAAAAUCAGAACUGACACUGGAAAUUCAGAGACUGUUCAAAUGGAAUUGUCUCCUGCCCAUGGUAUUUUCUUGGUUGUUUUUCAAAACAGAAAUACUUGGUCAGUAGUAGUUAAAAACGCUUGAAAUGCAUUUGUUCAUGACCAAUGAAAACGCUGUACGACAGGCAAGGAACACAGCCAGGAGCAGGGAUCUAAGAAACUCUGAACGGAGAUCUGUAAGGUUUGAAAGCAAUGACUUGACGUUUUUAUCCAUGAAUGAAACAACCAAGUGCCUGAAAGCAGAAGAAAAGAUGAGCGGGGUGAAAGAAAUAAGAGAGGCUCUAUCCCAGCUUUUCUCUCCAGUUUUCGAACUGCGCGGUGCUGCUGCUGCCUGGUGACCGAGACCGGCACUGCCGCCCCCACAGCCGUCCCCGCUGUCCCCUGACGGGUGACAUGACACCGGCGCCACUCCCAAGAUGGCAGAAGCGGCAUAACUCAAGUGACAGGACACUACAGAUGGCCGCUCGGGCAGCCGAAAAGACAGACGCCUUUGUGAGCAGUGGGGGCGGCCUUAACUGUACCACACCAAGGAUGGCGCCUUAGCCCGAAAGGGUUUCUGCCAGCACCCAAGAUGGCGACAAAGGGCGACAGUCUUCUGAUGCCACACCAAAGAUGGCGGCUCGGCGCGCCACUCCUUGUCCUUCCAGAUGGCGACAUGGUGCGCAUGCGCCUUAGGCAGGGGAAAAUGGCGGCCCGGAAGCACCGUGCUGCUUCCGUUCGGCUGAAUGAACGCGGCGCCGGCGCCGUUCCAGCGCUUUCAGCGCGGUUUUUUGUGGCGUUUCCCGAUGUGCGAAUACGGGUUGUGGGGCCAGCAGAGCCGGGAGCAGCCAGCAGGAUGCAGUUUCGCGGGAGCAAUGUGGCACAAAUUCCAGUGAUGGGAAGAGGCUGGAAGAAGCUGGAUUUCAGACAGGAGGCCAUGGAUUAUGCACCAGUGAAGGAGCUGCUGAACAUGAAAGGCAUCAGUGAAAAGUGA
rnacentral:lncRNA from 1 species